rnacentral:rRNA from 1 species
UACGGGGGGAGCAAGCGUUGUUCGGAUUUACUGGGCGUAAAGGGCGCGUAGGCGGCCACCGCAAGUCGACUGUGAAAUCUCCGGGCUUAACCCGGAAAGGUCAGCCGAUACUGCGGGGCUAGAGUGCAGAAGGGGCAACUGGAAUUCUCGGGUGUAGCGGUGAAAUGCGUAGAUAUCGAGAGGAACACCUGCGGCGAAGGCGGGUUGCUGGGCUGACACUGACGCUGAUGCGCGAAAGCAUGGGGAGCGAACGGG